GUCAACGAAACAUCAGACUACUAUUAUCAUGGGCAAGGAGAGGACCAACGUCAACAUGACCGUCGUCGGCUACUACUAGACUCUCACAUCAGAUUAUGGAGGGCUAGUACAACACGGACACGUCUCGGCUUCUGUACACUGACACGACUUGGACACGGACAACACGAUUCUACGAGAAUAACCCCCGGACUACCCUACACCUGAUUGGCUCUUUUGUUUACCAUAUUUAAAUAAAUUAAAAUUAUCCGUG